AAGAAAAGAUAAUAGACAAGAUACUUGACCUCAAACCCAUGAAAAUUUAAUAGUUACAUGUCAUCAUCCUCGGGCCAGCAGCGGUAUGUGUUCUGGUCUUGCUUCCUGGACCACCCAGAAGAGACUUUAUAGCCCCAGCCAUCAGGGGUAUAGUGUGUGCCCAGUGUGUUUUCUAUCCCUGGCUUCCAAAAAGUCCUGGAAGAAAGAAUAGGUGUGACCAGAAAGUCCUUCACCUCCGGAAUCUAAGUGGAUAUGGAUGCUUUUACUAAGCCUGCAAAUUCUGUAAAGCAGGAAACUACAAAAACGUUACAAAAGGCUCUGUCAAAAGAUUCUUCAAGUGAUUAAGGAUAGCACACUCUGCAUAGGAAAUGAAGCCCUCGGAGAGAUUUGAAGAAGCCCUUGGAGAGAUUUGAGAUAUCCCUAACGGAGAAAGAAUUGACCUUCAUUAUCUCAGGAAGGCUUUUGACAUAAAAGAGAAAGAGAAGAAACUGAUUACUUAAAGAGGAGAGAGAGCUGUAAAGAGAACUACGAGGAUGAGCAUCAGGCUUAAAGUGGCUUAAUUUAUAAACGGAUAAUUUAAAAAUAGAAUUGGAACAUUAAGCCUUAAUAUGACCUAUACUCCUCGCAAUCCAGAAGUGAAGGCUAGGGCUGAGGAACAGUUAUCGUAAGGAGAAAUGUGGACAUGAGAGGGGCACAGAGGAAGACUACCUGAAGACACACAGAGAGAAGGUGACCACGUGGUUGGAGUGGAGCAUCUACAAACCAACACACAUACCAAGGAUUGCUGGUAUAAAGGAGUACAGACGAGGUCAAAAUUCUAAAAUUGGAAUCUUGCCAUUAACAAACAGAACUGACAUUCUGAUACUUCUAUCUGCUGUGGACGUGACACAGAGACUUACCAAAGCCAAGAUACAUUUAUUCAAGGAGGAGCAACUUGCCUUUAUACUUAUACCU
rnacentral:lncRNA from 10 species